AAAUUGAAGAGUUUGAUCAUGGCUCAGAUUGAACGCUGGCGGCAGGCCUAACACAUGCAAGUCGAACGGUAACAGGAAGGAGCUUGCUUCUUUGCUGACGAGUGGCGGACGGGUGAGUGAUGUCUGGGAAACUGCCUGAUGGAGGGGGAUAACUACUGGAAACGGUAGCUAAUACCGCAUAACGUCGCAAGACCAAAGAGGGGGACCUUCGGGCCUCUUGCCAUCGGAUGUGCCCAGAUGGGAUUAGCUAGUAGGUGGGGUAACGGCUCACCUAGGCGAUGAUCCCUAGCUGGUCUGAGAGGAUGACCAGCCACACUGGAACUGAGACACGGUCCAGACUCCUACGGGAGGCAGCAGUGGGGAAUAUUGCACAAUGGGCGCAAGCCUGAUGCAGCCAUGCCGCGUGUAUGAAGAAGGCCUUCGGGUUGUAAAGUACUUUCAGCGGGGAGGAAGGGAGUAAAGUUAAUACCUUUGCUCAUUGACGUUACCCGCAGAAGAAGCACCGGCUAACUCCGUGCCAGCAGCCGCGGUAAUACGGAGGGUGCAAGCGUUAAUCGGAAUUACUGGGCGUAAAGCGCACGCAGGCGGUUUGUUAAGUCAGAUGUGAAAUCCCCGGGCUCAACCUGGGAACUGCAUCUGAUACUGGCAAGCUUGAGUCUCGUAGAGGGGGG
rnacentral:rRNA from 1 species